GAGGAAUUGGCGGGGGAGCACCGCAACGGGAGGAGGGUGGGGUUUAAUUGGAUUCAACACCGGAAAACUCACCAAGGGCGACUAUUACAUGAAAGCCAGGCUAAUGACCUUGCUUGAUUUUUAGAGAGGUGGUGCAUGGCCGUCGUCAGUUCGUACCGUAAGGCGUUCUCUUAAGUGAGAUAACGAACGAGACCCUCAUCUAUAAUUGCUACUUCAUUCUCCGGAAUGGAGGCACAUUAUCGAGACCGCUGGCGCUAAGUCAGAGGAAGGAGAGGGCAACGGUAGGUCAGUAUGCCCCGAAUCUCUUGGGCUACACGCGCGCUACAAAGGGCGGGACAAUGGGCUACGACGCCGAAAGGCGAAGUCAACCUCGAAACCCGUCCGUAGUUCGGAUUGAGGCUUGUAACUCAGCCUCAUGAAGCUGGAUUCCGUAGUAAUCGCGAAUCAAAAACUCGCGGUGAAUAUGCCCCUGCUCCUUGCACACACCGC
rnacentral:rRNA from 1 species